rnacentral:rRNA from 1 species
CGCGUGUAGCAAUACACGAGCGGCGGACGGGUGAGUAACACGUGGGAACAUGCCUAUCGGUACGGAAUAACGCAGGGAAACUUGCGCUAAUACCGUAUGCGCCCUAACGGGGAAAGAUUUAUCGCCGAUAGAUUGGCCCGCGUUGGAUUAGCUAGUUGGUGAGGUAACGGCCCACCAAGGCGACGAUCCAUAGCUGGUUUGAGAGAACGAUCAGCCACACUGGGACUGAGACACGGCCCAGACUCCUACGGGAGGCAGCAGUAGGGAAUCUUGGACAAUGGGGGAAACCCUGAUCCAGCCAUGCCGCGUGAGUGAUGAAGGCCUUCGGGUUGUAAAACUCUUUCGACGGGGACGAUAAUGACGGUACCCGUAGAAGAAGCUCCGGCUAACUUCGUGCCAGCAGCCGCGGUAAUACGAAGGGGGCUAGCGUUGUUCGGAUUUACUGGGCGUAAAGCGCGCGCAGGCGGCUUUGCAAGUCAGGGGUGAAAUCCCAGAGCUCAACUCUGGAAUUGCCUUUGAGACUGUGAGGCUUCGAGUACGGGAGAGGUGAGUGGAAUUCCCAGUGUA